UACGUAGGGUGCAAGCGUUAAUCGGAAUUACUGGGCGUAAAGCGUGCGCAGGCGGUUAUGUAAGACAGAUGUGAAAUGCCCGGGCUUAACCUGGGAACUGCAUUUGUGACUGCAUGGCUAGAGUGUGUCAGAGGGGGGGUAGAAUUCCACGUGUAGCAGUGAAAUGCGUAGAGAUGUGGAGGAAUACCGAUGGCGAAGGCAGCCCCCUGGGAUAACACUGACGCUCAUGCACGAAAGCGUGGGGAGCAAACAGG
rnacentral:rRNA from 1 species